UCCAGAAAAUGAACUAAAAACUUAGAAGACUUCAGAGUGUAGAACGCAGCUAUUUACACUUCUGAAGUUGAGGACAUAAAGAACUUGUGACAGCGAGAGUCAGAAGGUUGAUCUGGACAUUGAGGUGCAAAGAUAUAAAGAACUUGUGACAGCGAGAGUCAGAAGGUUGAUCUGGAGAUAGAGGUGCAAAGAUAUAAAGAACUUGUGACAGCGAGAGUCAGAAGGUUGAUCUGGACAUAGAGGUGCAAAGAUAUAAAGAACCUGUUACAGCGAGAGUCAGGAGGUUGAUCUGGACAUAGAGGUGCAAAGAUAUAAAGAACCUGUUACAGCGAGAGUCAGUAGGUUGAUCUGGACAUAGAGGUGCAAAGAUAUAAGGAACUUGUGACAGCGAGAUUCAGAAGGUUGAUCUGGACGUAGUGGUGCAAAGAUAUAAAGAACUUGUGACAGCGAGAGUCAGGAGGUUGAUCUGGACAUAGAGGUGCAAAGAUAUAAAGAACUUGUGACAGCGAGAGUCAGGAGGUUGAUCUGGACAUAGAGGUGCAAAGAUAUAAAGAACUUGUGACAGCGAGAGUCAGGAGGUUGAUCUGGACAUUGAGGUGCAAAGAUAUAAAGAACUUGUGACAGCGAGAGUCAGAAGGUUGAUCUGGACAUUGAGGUGCAAAGAUAUAAAGAACUUGUGACAGCGAGAGUCAGAAGGUUGAUCUGGAGAUAGAGGUGCAAAGAUAUAAAGAACUUGUGACAGCGAGAGUCAGAAGGUUGAUCUGGACAUAGAGGUGCAAAGAUAUAAAGAACUUGUGACAGCGAGAAUCAGAAGGUUGAUCUGGAGAUAGAGGUGCAAAGAUAUAAAGAACUUGUGACAGCGAGAGUCAGAAGGUUGAUCUGGACAAGGAUAAGC
rnacentral:sRNA from 1 species